rnacentral:rRNA from 1 species
UACGGAGGGUGCAAGCGUUACUCGGAAUCACUGGGCGUAAAGAGCGUGUAGGCGGAUAGAUAAGUUCGAAGUGAAAUCCAAUGGCUCAACCAUUGAACUGCUUUGAAAACUGUUUAUCUAGAAUAUGGGAGAGGUAGAUGGAAUUUCUGGUGUAGGGGUAAAAUCCGUAGAGAUCAGAAGGAAUACCGAUUGCGAAGGCGAUCUACUGGAACAUUAUUGACGCUGAGACGCGAAAGCGUGGGGAGCAAACAGG